rnacentral:lncRNA from 1 species
AAUGAACAACUCGAAUGCAACAAAAGAAACUGAUACCUGUAGUCUCAAACGCGGCCGCUGCCGCCUCCGCUGUCUGGGCUGCAUACAUGCGUCCGAUCGGGGUCUGUCGUGACCCCUCCAUCUGUCUUUGGAUAGGUGGCCUCCCGGCCUGAUAGUAAGUAGAAGGCGUCUCCUGGCUGGGACCCGGUAAAGCUGGUGCCGAUGCUGAAGAUAGCACAGGUACUGAGACCCUCGGGCAGUCCGACUGGAAGUGACCCUCCUGGCCACACGAGUAGCACCUGCCCCGACCCUGCGAGCACUGCCGUGGGUAAUGACGACCACCGCAGAUCACGCAGCUCAGAGUAUGACGACGCUCAGAUCCUCCUUGCUGUGCAGAUGUGCCCCGUCCUCGCGACUGACUCCUAUUCCUGGG